UACGAAGGGUGCUAGCGUUGUUCGGAAUCACUGGGCGUAAAGCGCGCGUAGGCGGCUUGUCAAGUCAGGGGUGAAAUCCCACAGCUCAACUGUGGAACUGCCUUUGAAACUGUCAAGCUGGAGUGUCGGAGGGGAUGGCGGAAUUCCUAAUGUAGAGGUGAAAUUCGUAGAUAUUAGGAGGAACACCGGUGGCGAAGGCGGCCAUCUGGACGACAACUGACGCUGAGGCGCGAAAGCGUGGGGAUCAAACAGA
rnacentral:rRNA from 1 species